UACGGAGGUGGCAAGCGUUGUUCGGAAUUACUGGGCGUAAAGCGCGCGCAGGCGGUUUCUUAAGUCUGAUGUGAAAGCCCACGGCUCAACCGUGGAGGGUCAUUGGAAACUGGGGAACUUGAGUGCAGAAGAGAAAAGCGGAAUUCCACGUGUAGCGGUGAAAUGCGUAGAGAUGUGGAGGAACACCAGUGGCGAAGGCGGCUUUUUGGUCUGUAACUGACGCUGAGGCGCGAAAGCGUGGGGAGCAAACAGG
rnacentral:rRNA from 1 species